ACUUUAACCACAGUCGGGCUAUAUAAGCAGUGCAGUCUAUAAAGGUAUUGGUUCACUGAACAGAUGUCCGGGAAGGUGCGAUUGCAUGAGUGCAGGAAGCCCAAUACUAAUUUAUGUGUUCUGUGGUUGUGAAUGCAAGAGGGCAUAGUGCGUUUUUGCUUUGCUCAGUGGCCUACAAUACGGAGAAAACGAUUCCCGAGUAAUAAGCAUUAUAAUAUAAACAAAACAACACGAAACAAGAAAUGAAGGGAUUCCAAUAAAGACGAACUUCAACAUUUCUCCUUGCCAUCAUCAGUCUACAGAAGUUGAAGGUGAACAUGAAAAGAGUGAUUUUUAUUUGAUGGUAUAGGGCUACACUUUUUCUAAAAGUCGCGAUUAUGACCUGGAAACAGAAAUCAAGACUUGAUAGGACUAACAGGGAAGCUGCCGCUAUAAAACAUAACAGAAUCUGACAGUGAAUACAGACAUGUCGAACAGAAAAAGUCUACAAAAACGCAUUAUGUCUGUGUUCGCGAGCUAUCAUUGCCUCAACCAAUGAAGUGGUAAACAGUGUGAAUGAACACAUUAGCAACUUCCCUGGGGAAAGCCGAGAGUACUGUUGUUCGGAUACAAUGGAUGACGAAAACUGCCACCAGUAUCCACAGGAUUUCUUGAACAACUUAAAUCCAUCGGGAUUACCAGUUCAUAAAAUCAAAUUGAAAAAGAACUGUCCGAUAAUGUUCCUUGGGAAUUUCGAUCCUGUCAAUGGUCUCUGCAAUGGAACAAGAGACUCAGUAACAGAACUAAAUUCCAUUGUUAUCGAAGCAGUGAUUGCGACUGGCACACACAAUGGUAAACGCCUGUUCAUUUCGCAGAUACCCCUUGUACAACCGAUAACCAGUUUCCGUUCCAAUUAAGACGCAGGCAGUUUCCUAUAAAACUAGCAUUCUCAUUCACAGUAAACAAGGCACAGGGCCAUACUUCAGGUCGUGUAAGUGUAUUUUUACCCACUCCGAUGUUUACACACGGCCAGUUAUACGUCGGUAUGAGUAUAGCAACGGACUCCAGUAAUUUGAAAAUUAGUGUCGACCAAACAGGAA
rnacentral:lncRNA from 1 species